GCUCUCUUCAGCAGGACAUCUACUAAAAUGGGGACGACAUAGAGGAGAGUAGAGUGGCCCCUGUGCAAGGAUAAAUUCAUAAAGUAUUUUAUAUUUUU
rnacentral:snRNA from 1 species